rnacentral:tRNA from 1 species
GAGAGACAAGCAUAAGAGGAUGUGCGGUUAGCUUGAAACUAAAAGGAGGGGGUUCGAGUCCUUCGUCUCUUG